CGAAAAUCGCAAACCUUUUGAAAAAAAGGGGCGCAAAGCCCAUGGGCCUAAGGAUCCAGAAUCUAAGGCAGCCGGGUUACCGAA
rnacentral:ncRNA from 1 species